CAGGGAUUGCCCUAGUAACGGCGAGUGAAGCGGCAACAGCUCAAAUUUGAAAUCUGGCCCUUGGGUCCGAAUUGUAAUUUGUAGAGGAUGUUUUUGGUGCGGUAUCUUCCGAGUUCCUUGGAACAGGACGCCUUAGAGGGUGAGAGCCCCGUACGGUUGAAUGCCUAGCCUUUGUAAAACUCCUUCGACGAGUCGAGUAGUUUGGGAAUGCUGCUCUAAAUGGGAGGUAAAUUUCUUCUAAAGCUAAAUACUGGCCAGAGACCGAUAGCGCACAAGUAGAGUGAUCGAAAGAUGAAAAGCACUUUGAAAAGAGGGUUAAAUAGCACGUGAAAUUGUUGAAAGGGAAGGAUUCAUGACCAGACUUUUUCUAGGCGAAUCAUCCGGUGUUCUCACCGGUGCACUUUGUCUAGUCUAGGCCAGCAUCGAUUUUCGGGGCGGGAUAAAAGCUUUAGGAAUGUGGCUCCCUCGGGAGUGUUAUAGCCUAUUGUAUAAUACCGCCCUGGGGAUCGAGGUACGCGCUUCUGCAAGGAUGCUGGCGUAAUGGUUAUCAAUCACCCGUCUUGAAACACGGACCAAGGAGUCGAACAUUUGUGCAAGUGUUUGGGUGUUAAACCCUCACGCGUAAUGAAAGUGAACGGAGGUGAGAGCCCUUACGGGUGCAUCAUCGACCGAUCCUGAUGUCUUCGGAUGGAUUUGAGUAAGAGCAUAACUGUUCGGACCCGAAAGAUGGUGAACUAUGCGUGGAUAGGGUGAAGCCAGAGGAAACUCUGGUGGAGGCUCGCAGCGGUUCUGACGUGCAAAUCGAUCGUCGAAUCUGCGCAUGGGG
rnacentral:rRNA from 1 species